rnacentral:tRNA from 1 species
AAUUUUAAUAGCUUAUUUUUAGAGUAUGAUAUUGAAGAUAUCAGGGAGAUCUUAGAUCUUAAAAU